UGGAAAGUGUAAUUAUAUAUACGCGCAGGGGAUGAUGCUGAGUUAUUCUGCCGAGAGGGGCAGAGAUUAGGCGAGAAGAAAGGAAAGAAAGAAAACGGAGAUGUGUUUUCGUUGGCGAGGGAGUUUGCCGGAGGGGAGAAACUCGUUGGCAGAUGCUCGCCGGAGAAGAAUGAAGUUGUCAAAUAUAGUUUCGCCAGAAAACAGAGGACCGAAUUCCGGCGAGGCUUUCUUCAUGUUUCUGGCAGGUUUUGGACCCCGAUUUCUUCAAGGAAGACUCCCAGAACCUGAAACUGAUCCUGCAUAUGUCAAUUAAGUGAAGAUUGACCAAGAUGUUGAAUUAGAUAGUUUAAUAAACCGGCCAAAUGUGACGGAAAAUGGGUGAAGGCUAAUAUGAGCAAUUUCCAAGUCGAGCAAAAGGGCAAGGAAAUAUUGAGGAAAUCGAACCUAACAGUUUUGUUAAAAAAUUGCCACAAACAAGGCUGCAAGGUUCGGGAGUCCAUAUAGGUUUUGUCAAAGAUAAAAAGGAAAUGGUCAGCAUUAAGUUCCAAGGAUCAACCAUCGAGUGACAAGGAAAAAGGUAAAGACCACAGGUGUUGUUAAGUUGAAAAAGAUGGAUGUACGAGGUGUGAUAAACUCACCUGUGUUGUAAAUAAGUUUCUUUUUAGACUGUAAUUCCUAGCCAAAGGCUAGGUUAUGUUAAAUAAGUCUGUUUUUAGAUGGUAAUUAAUUCCUAGCCAAAGACUAGGUUAUGUUGGUUUGUUUUAUUUUCUAGAAGAAUGUAAGUGUAUAACUAGCUCUAGACUUGGUUUAUGUUUGAUGUUUAUUCAUGCUUGUCAGUUUUUAAUGUUUUGUAAUGUUAGUUAAUAGAUUGUGAUUGUAUGUUGGAUAUUGGGACCAGAUCAUUCCAUGCUUAGGUUAUUUAUAAAAUGCUUACCUUCUUUUAAAAAGGUCUAUGCGAAGAGAGUACUCAUAGGAAAAUGUUUCAUGUUUUUGUUAAGUUUUCUUUUAACCUUGUGAGUGGAAGAACCAAAUAACAACUUAUAACCCAAUCAUCCCUAAUUGAUUGCUUCCAAUUGGGUAUUCUUCCCAAGUAGAAGAGCUAGGCUCUUUAUGAUACCUUAGGCUAGGAUGUGGUGUUAAAAAAAGGUAACAAGAAAACUUUAUUAAGAAAACUCUCAAAGAAUAUUACAUCAGUAGAAUAAGUGCGCUACAAAAUGAGUUGACCUAGCCUAGAGACUACCUACUUAGAAAGCUCUUAGAAUAUAUCCACAAUCCUACACCUGGAAGGCAAAAAAAGUGCAAAGGAAAUCAUUGAGAAUGACUAACCAAACUACUAGGGCCUUGCCAUGCAAAGAACUCUUGCUCUAGCCUUGUCGUGAAUAGUUUAUGUUAGACUUAAUCCCAUUGGAAUUGAUAUCUAAAUAGCAUUCGCAAAGGAAUUUCCUAAAAGCCUCAAACCUAGAUUGUUGGACCGUCUACAUGUCCUCUUCAUACAAGCUAACGAAAAAGAUUGAGCUCAUUACACUCUCAAGGGGAUGUACAACAGCUCCCUUAACUUCUUUAGACUUAGAUUGAAAGUUCCUUGAAGGCUAAAAUAUGCCUUCGCUACACUUAGCCUAUUCAUAAAGCUGGCAACAAUGGCAAAGGACAUGUUAUUGUGAUGCCAUUGGUGGUCACUGUGCUCUUGAACCUUGACAAGGCCAUGCUCGAAUUCUCAUACUCAAGCCUCAAACACUUACACUUGGCUCUCGGCUACCUCAACCAGUUUCAUCGACUCUAUGAGGAAGUUGUAAACAUUGCAUGCCCUUCGCAAAGAUAAGAACAAAAUUAGGUUAUAUAUUGGAGACAGGUUAAGAACAUAAAGACGACAAAAGCAAAGUCACAAUUCCUAAUGAAGUUCAUAGGAAGUCUAAUCCUCCGACAGUUCUUGAAGAGUGUUCAGUGACUUUUGUGCUUGGAGUUAACACGAGAGGGGAGUUGGGUUAGCUUGACGGUAAAAGCCUAGUGACUAGUGGUGAAGAACCAAAAGAAUACCCAACAUUUGAUGGUGUAAACAAAAUAAAAUAUACAUAGGGGAAUAAAAUAUCAAGAAAUACCUCUUUAUUUCAAGAUCACACUUAUAUCAAAAGUUUUUAGCAGGCCAAAAACAUAUUUUUGCCUUUAAACUUUUAUGUUUUUUUUUUUUUGAAACUAUAAACUUUUUGUGAUUCCAAAUGUAUUCCUUUGAACAGUGCAAAAUCACUAAUUUAAAUACCUGACUAACAAGUUAUAUGCAUGCGAGCUGAUGUGACAAUUUUAUGUCGGCUCCUCAGUUUCCUCUCCCUCACUCUCUUCGGCGUCUCUUCAGCUCCCUCACUCUCUCUCGUUGCAUCUUCUCUAGCAUCUCCUCUCUCUCUCUUGCGAAGUUCUCAUCCAAGGGAAAUCUUUAUGUAAGAACUACUUCAAGGCCAAAUCUGACUUAAUUAAUGAGUUGAUUCCAGAAGACGACCUUGAAGGGCUCUGAAAAUAUUAAUGGAGGAAGAAAGUACAUGUCGGAAGAUGGCAAAGCACAUGGAUUGGAUGAGGUGACUGUACAAGUACAUGUUGAUUACGUCUCGAUGUUGCUGGGAGAGCUUAUGUGAAUUAUAAGGACCUCGAUUUGGGGAUGAACAAGAACGGGAGCACGGAUUUCAAUCAGGCGAGCGUUUGGGGGACCAAGUAUUUCAAGAACAAUUUCAACAGGUUGGUAAGAAUCAAAUCGAAGGUUGAUUCGGAGAACUUUUUUGGCAUGAACAGAGCAUCCCUGUUCUUCGGACGGUGGCGAUGAACACUUAUUGAGGAGAUGCCAGAAAGAGAGAGAGUUGAGGAGUUGUCGAAAAAUUUUCACAUCAGUGCGUGUGCGUAUCAUUUGCUGAUUAGGUAAUUUUGCAUGAUUUAGGAGUAUAUUUAAAAUUGUGAAAAGAUUAAAAUUUUAUAAAAAAAACCCGUAAAAGUUAAAAGAAUAAAAAUAUGCUUCUGGCCAAAAUCGAGCAUUCCAUUAAGCAUACCUUCUAUGCUUAUGACGUAUGACUAUUACUACAAUAAUCACCAAUCCUAUGGUAUAAACAUGCACCAUAGAACUUGACUCUUGGACAGUAUAUUGAGAGAGAGAGAGAGAGAGGGCAGUGGUCACCCAUGACAAGAUUUGAAAAUGACAAGGUUGAGUGUUGAGACAAAGAAAUAUCAAUAGGAGGGGGAGAAAAGUUAUUAAGGCUUUACAUAUUACAGGGGUAUAAUAGUUUAACUUUGUAAAAUUUUAAUCCCAUGUGCUAGGAUAAAUCUUUGUUGGGGUGGCUAGGUAUUGUUUUAGUGAACUCCUAGUGAAGUGAAUAACCAAAUAAUAAGGGUAAACAAGGGAUGAAGCUUACCCAAGAUUGAGAGAAAUGAGUAAAGAUACCUUUAGUUAGGUGCAGAAAGUCUUGUAAAGAAGAGUAAAUAAUUCCAAGUUGAGUAAUUAAAACAUGGGAUUGGGAUUGGGAUUGGGAUUGGUCAAGAAUGCUUGCCAAAAAGUUAAUUUACAAGAAGCCUAGGAUAGGAUAGGAUAGGAGUGGUCAUUCUCCACUUCUCAUAGAAUUCUAGGGAGAGGAAAGGCUCAACAUUUCUUUAUGUCUUCAAGGUUUUUUGAAAUUAAAUAAUAAAAAUUUAAAUUAACUUAGUAUAGGCUGAAUUUAGGUGAAGGGACGUGACAUAUUUGCCCAUAUACUUCGGCCUCAAAACUAAAUUAAUCUAUUUUAAAAAAGAACAAAUAAACUAUUGUAUUUUCAAUCUUGAUAUAAAAUUGACUGUCUAUUUUUAAAAGGAUUAAAUAAGCUCUGUACGUUCAAACUUAAGGCUAAAGACAAUUGAAGUAUAAAAAUAAGAACUAUGGCAACCCAAAGUUGAGCUCAAAUCAAACCCUUAUUCUGCACCUUAUAUUUGCAUUUACAUAGUCAAGUCACUCGCAAUUCAAUUGAAGACACUACCUUGCCCAACUCAAAUGCAAUAACCUUAGUAGGAGAGUAUAGAUAUAAUGCGAUGAAUUGAGCUUUUAUUUAAGUUUGAUUUUGAGGGUUGGAGUUUGAGAUGGAUAGACUUAACUCCAUUAAUUAUAAGAUAAUAAAUUUCAAUGGAUAACAUUUAUACUCAGGGCGAAAUUAAGUAGGCUUCUUAAGUCAAUUGGGGGAUAGUUUGUCAGUUGGGGGGCCGGGAGCUUAGGCAGUCUAAUGUAUGUUUCCCAAAUAUAAUGAAAAAGAAAUAAAAAAUUGCAUUGAGAGGGAAAACAGAUGAAUAUGCAAACAGCUCAAUUAAUUGUGUGGUGACGCAAUAAAUAAACUAAAAAUAGUCUCUGAAAGAAUGGCCAACCACAAACAGAAGGGAUGGAACCACAGAUAUACAUCUACUUACUUUAUUUCUCCUUCCAAAACUAAAGUGUAAUCUGUAUUGUAAUCCAAUCCAUUUCUUAUAAUUAACAUUUGCCUAAAAUAUAUAUUUUGCAACUGAUCAUCAUCAUCUCUCUCUCUCUGAUCAUCUUGCAUUGUAUGCCAUUGACAAUCUCCUAUUCUCAUGCAAGAAACCGCCCAAAAGUUUUGGCUGUAUAUUUUUGUCAACUUCUUCCUCUUGACGAGCACCGCUCUCCAUCUCACCAUGGAGGGUCGGGCCCAACCUCAACCCCAGCCUGCAGUACCCUCCGAACAGACAGUGAAACCACCGC